CAGGAUGAUGCUUGAUAACAAGAUUUAUUUUAAGUAUGAAUAAAGGACACAUUACGGUUACGCAUUUGUAACAAGGCGUAGCAGUUUCGUAUCCAAAGCAAGGACAAGCAAAAUGAUGAUAGUUUUCCUCCUUGCGUUUGCAUUCUUGCACAUUUGUACCAGCCGAGAGAUCGUCAAAAAGAACGCUGUCAUUUUUUAUUUCAAAGAUACUGACGAAAGAGAUCUUGCUUUCGAUGAUAAACCAUCGAUCGAUGACGAGGUAGUGGACUUUAACGUUGACAAACAGGGACCUUUGGAAUACCCUGGAGAUUGCCACACGAAAAGGCUUAUCAAUUUUGCCAAAAAAGGAGGUUGCACGCUAAAAACAGGACCCCACAUAUCCGUCUACAGAGACGGCAAAUUCGUGACCAGUAUUCCUCAUAAUGUGAAAGACAAUCCAACCUGCGAGUCAAUCAUCGAUGAAUUAAACGAACAUUGCUCAAAGGCAUUUGAUAUGAAGUGAUUUGGCCAUGUUUCUGUAUUGAUUUAAAUAUAUCUUAAUAUUUGCUAUAGUUUGCACGUAAUUUGAGGUUCCGACAUAUUUCUCGUCUAAGAUGUAUUUGCAAUUUAAUAAACCAUUAAAAGGCCAUUGUAGAUCAAGGUAAGCUAUUAAUUCGCCUUAGGAAGUGUUUCUUACUUUACCAUACUUUAACUUAAUUUCGGCAAAAAUCUGACUUAUCAAAAUGCAUUUGUAUUUUUAAAAAAUCCCCGACAAACGAACGUCGUUAGGCUUGUAGUUUAAACAGUAUUGACCUAUAAAUUGUUGAGUACAAAGACAACAUCGCCAAUUAUUUCAUAUUUUACUUUCUUGAAAACAUGACUUGUUCUGUAUGAUUGUAGUAUAUUCAAUCCCUGUUCUUCGAAUAUCCUAAUAUAAUCCGUCUUUGCA